CGGCGACUCUUUGAAACUUGUAAGUGUCUGUUUCACCUGCAAAACAAUACAUAAUAGCAAAUAAAUCAAACAAACAUCGAGAAAUUCCUAUAGACAUGUUCCUACAACCGUUAUGCAGUCAGCACAUAUACAGAGAAUAAAAUAAUUGCAUCGAUUCUUGAACUUACCUGUAGCAGCAGUAUGAGAGAUAAUGAAAGUAACAAAGACUAAGCGAUUUGUAACGGUGAAAUAUGCUAAGUGUUUUCAGCAACCUUGCAGGAAUGCAAAAGAACUUUUAAGUAUAUCGUUGCUUUAUAUUAAUAUAACUGAUCUUUUAUUUACGAGAGUAAUAGUAGUAGUUGUAAUAGAACUUGUGAACUUCAGACCUCUGUUAAUUGAAAAGGAUAAGUGUUUAUAUAGUAGGGGGUCUAGAGGGUAAAAAGGAAAAAAUAUUUUUACAAUCAAUCAGAAUCAAUUAAGGAAAGGAAAAUAUUUGAUUGAAAUCAGUCAAUGGUUUUUUUUCCAUAAACAAAAAAAUCAUACUUGUAAUAUAAGAUUUGGUAAAAGCCAAUAAAGGAAAAUAUUGGUUGAGUGAAUCGAUUAUAUUAUAUAAAUAAUUUAAAAUCAUUCUAACCUUAAUAAAAGGAAAGAAGUAUUAAUCAACAGAGCAUGUGGUGUGGUCAAUCAACACAACUGCCUUAAAUAUAAAGACAUAAUCAGUCGAAAUAAAUAGAAGGAAAAAUAUCAAUUAAUCCAAAUAUUCCUUCUGAAUCAUGUAGAUUAAUUAAGGAAAAUCAUUAUCUUAGCAUAAAAAGGCCAAAAUAAAUUAUGAAUGUGUCAAUCAGUAACAUAUCCCAAGAUUCCCAGAACUGUGUCAAAUUGAUCUUGCAGUGGUUUGUGAAAAUUUAAAAAUACGUUAACUAAAGAACCAAAUAAGAUAUGAAAUUAAAACAAUUAGGUCAGAAAAGUCAACACCAUACAUCACUGAUUCUAAAUUUAACGAUCUAUCAAAUAAUGAGAAAACGAUGAUAACGUUAAUGCAAUUAGAUAAGGAUGCGAACCUGGAUAAUUUAUUACGAAUUCAUCGCAAUUUUUCGGUGAUUAGUAGGGAAGAUAGAGGCGCUGGAGAAAGGGGAAAGCGAUAGAAGCGCUGUCACCUUUGGUGGUAGCGGUGCUGGUCGACUUGCUGGUGGAGGUAUUGGAGUAGCGAUGGAGGAGUAGAGAAAGCUCGGAGGCAGUGAAGUCGUGGUGGCGGGGUCUGAGGACCACGGCUAGGACUAGCGGUCGUUGGCGACGUUGGAGCGGGUCUUCGACAGCGAUGAUGCAUGGGAGAUCUGGGGUCACGGAGGAUGGGAUGAUGUCAUCAUUGGGGGGUGGUCAGAGAUGAAGGGAUGGCAUGGUGAUGCUGGUUGGAGCAAAAUAGGGCGGGGCCAUUGCCGCUAUUCUUGGCGGCGUCAGAUCUGGGCUGAGACAAAGGGGAUUGGCAGCGAGGGUGGCGUUUAUGGCUGGCUCCGACGACUGACGCUCUUUUGAGGCACCGGAAAAAGAAGAUGAUGGGGGUUUCGUGGUGGUGUUAGAUUUCGCGUUGGUGCCAAUGUGGAGAGGGACGACAGAAGAGGUUCUUUGAGAGAGAGGGAGUAGAGAGAGGGAUCAAGAGGGGGAGGAUGAUAGGGAAUGAGAUUAGGGUUAGGGUUUGUUGUUGGUUUAAAAGGAAGGUAAGGGGAUUUGGUUUCAGCCGUCAAAUCAGUUUUUGAUCAACGACUGAGAUUUAAAGAUUGAGAUUUAGACCAAAAUUGAGUACCAUUAAAAAUUGAGUGACUAAAUUGGCCAAAAUUGUGACAAAAGGCUAAAAUUGUAAUGAUAUGGAUUAAAAUUGGCCAGAUUUGUAAAGAUUAGACUAUAAGACGAAUAAAUUGGACAAAUUGGUGUUUUAAAAGACUAAGCUAUUAUUUAAAUUAAGGUAAAUAAGAUUAAUAAUAAUUGAAUAAUAGAUAACAAUACUAAAUACUAAAUAAUAAUAAAUAAUAAUAUUUAAAUAAUAAAUAACAAUUAUUAAAUAAUAAAUAGUAAAUAAUAAUAAAAAAAUUACGAUAAUAGAUAAUAAUGUAUAUAAUAAUGGUGUUAAUAAAUAAUAAUAAAUAAAUAAAAAAGUACUGAUAUAAAUAGUAUGAAUUUUUUUAAAUAAAUAUUAAUGAAAUUAUAUAAAGCUGUCAUAUUUAAAAAAGAAUAAAAUGAUACUAAACAAUUUAUUCAAUUUUUCUAAGUUAUGAGUGAGUCACGUUAGUAUGUAUUUAAUGUAAAAUGAUACGAAGAAAAACAAAAAAUUAAUAAUUAAAAUUAAAUAAAUUUGACAAAAUAGCAACCCAAAACUGAUAUCGGGAGGUCAAAAUUAGGUGUCAACAGCUGUCCCUUCGUUGUUUCAGAAUGAUAAAAGAAUUGUAAAACAACGAAAUUUGACGUAGUAGCCGAUUUUGUCCGACCAAGAGGGGUUCAUUGGAAUUAAGGCAACAAGAGGUGUUUUUUAAAAAAAUGGUGUGGCCGAGACUUUGGCUUUAAGUCGCCCACAUAUCUCUUGUUUUUACGAGAAUCAGGCCAUGUAUAGUUCUAGAUUUAGGAAUGAACAAUAUUUCAAAAAAAUAUUAAUGACAAAGGUUGCAGCGUCAAAAAUGGUAUCGUGGGUCGGAUAUGAUUUGAGAUAGAAUGAAACAAUGACGUAUGGAGAAUUUUAAAGAUGUUGAGGUCGGUGAGUCUCAGGAUGAGUUCAAGUGGUGGACGAAUAGAUGGAGUAAUAUUCUGAAAAUAGAAACGAAAAUUGAUAAACAUUUAAUAAAUGUAACAUAAUUGUGAAGACAAAGAAAGCGUAUCAAUUUUAUAAUCAGUUUCUUGGCUUCUCCUCGUCGGACCAGCAUUGGGCUCUUCCAUCGUCGGAUCGGCAUUGGAGCUUCCCCAUCGUCGGAUCAACAUUGAACUUUUCCACCGGUGGAUCACUAUUGGGCUUUUCCCUCAUCGGAUCGGCAUUUGAGCUUCUCUAUUGUCGAUCGGCAUUGGAGCUUUCCUAUCGCCAGUUCAGCAUUUGGGAUUCCCCAUCAUCGGAUCAGCAUUAGGCUUUUCCAUCGUAGGAUCAGCAUUGGGCUUUUCCAUUGUCGGAUCGACAUUUGAGCUUCUUCAUCAUCGAAUUGGCAUUGGAGCUUCCCCAUCGUCGGUACAGCAUUUAGGCUUCCCCAUCGUUGGAUUAACAUUAGGAGCUUCUCCAUCAUUGGAUCAACAUUAGGCUUCUCCAUUGUUGGAUCAGCAUUGGAGCUUUUUCAUUGUCGGAUCUACAUGUGAGCUACUUCAUCGUCGGAUUUGCAUUAGAGCUUCUCCAUUGUCGGUUCAGUAUUUGGACUUUCCUAUCGUCAGAUCAGCAUUGGGAGCUUCUCCAUCGUCGGAUCAGUAUUGGGCUUCUCCAUCGCCGAAUCAGCAUUGGAGCUUCUCCAUUAUUGGAUCGGCAUUAGAACUUAUCCAUUGUCGGAUCAGCAUUGGAGCUUUUCCAUUGUCGGAUCAUCAUUGGGCUUCUCCAUUGUGAAAUCAUGGCCCGUAUCUGCCACUGGUAGCUUGACUCGACAGAAAUGAUUAGUAAGAACAUAUGUGUGUGCGUAGAGAAUUAUAGCAAACAAAUGUAACGGUAGAGAUAAUGAAAGAUAAGAAAGCAUAGUUGUCUUGUAGUUGGAUUGAUUGUGAAGUUUCUUGCCAUGAUAUUUGAUGGUCUAUUUCUCUUUCGUGGUGGAAUGGUUGUUGUUAUCUGUACCUGUUAAUCCUGUAUCCAAAGAAAAAUUGUGAGUUCGUAAAAAAGGAAGGUUGAUUUGUGCUUUUUCCUUUACUGAAGUAUUCGCCUCAUGAUGUCGUCGAUUUGUUAAUGAACUUCAUCCGUGCCUUCACUUGGGUAGACAGAUAGUAGAAGGAAAAUCGUUUUUGAAAAGAAAAUUAUGUUUGAAAAGAAAAUUGUCUUUUGAGAGUAGUAAGUAAAAUUUGCUAGGAAAAACAUGAAAAUUUUGUUGCAUCGUUGAUUGUGACAUGUUUUGAGACAGUACGACAUCUUGCAGAUCCUUGUUCUCUUCCCCAGAAAUUUUGAGAAACACUAAAAAAUUUCUUCUCCAGUAUAGAACUAAACUUGUUGCGAGAAUUCCAGCGUCUUGCUCCUAGAAUUUUUGAGGUUGUCUAAAAAAUUCUGCCCAGUUUGUAAUUUAUACCGACAUCAUGUCCAUGUGGAAUUUUUGAGGUCCUCUCAAAAAUUCUGCUCCAGUUACAGUACUCCCAGAGAGAGGAAUAAAAUGUUUUAUUAUGAAGUGACCGAACUCUAUAGGAGCGCCUACGUAUCCCUCUUAAAUGGGAAUCAAAUCAAACAUAGUUCCAAUUAUAAUUCAAGGGGCGUAAAGAUAAAAUUAAACAUAAUAUCUCUUAACAGCGUUUGAAUUGAUGGGCUUAGACCAAACUAUGCCAUCCAUUUCUGCAAGUAUGAGUGCUCCUCCUAUCAGAACUCGAUGAACCACGUAAGGGCCUUGCCAAUUAGGCGAGAAUUUGCCCUUUGCCUCGUCUUGAUGUGGAAAAAUUUGCUUUAGAACCAGUUGUCCUGGCGCAAAGUGUCUUGGCAUAACCAUUUUGUUGAAAGCUUUGGUUAUUCUGUUCUGAUAGAGUUGGACAUGGCAAACUGUAUUUAUUCGUCUUCCGCCAAUGAGCGCCAGUUGCUCGAAUUUGUUUUGUAUCCAAUCAGCGUCACUCAAUUCUACUUCAUGGAUGAUUCUUAGAGAUGGUAUUUUGACCUCAGCUGGUAUCACUGCUUUUUUUCCAUAAACCAGAAAGUAAGGCGUGGCACCUGUGCACGUCCUGAUGGUGGUACAGUACCUUAGCAGUCGACUGUUGUCAACCAUCUUGCACAGGAUCCUCUUGAUAUUUUUAUUUGUGGCCUCAACUGCUCCAUUCAUUUGUGGCCUGUAGGCUGUGGAAUUUUGAUGCUUGAUCUUGAACUUUUCACAUGUGGCUUUCAUCAGGUCGCUGUUGAGGUUGGAACUAUUGUCACUGAUAAUAGAUUCGGGAAUUCCAAAUCAACAAAUGAUGUUGCUUCAAACGAAGUCAUCUACGACCUUUUUUGUGAUUGAUUUGUGAGAAGUGGCUUCUACCCACUUGGUGAAGUAGCCAAUUGCAACAAGGAUGAACCUGUGACCAUUGGACUUGGCCGGCUCAAUGGGACCAAUGAUAUCCAUGCCCCAAGCUGCGAAGGGCUAAGGAGAGUUGGUGACAUGGAGUUUGUUGGGAGAAAUUCGAAUCAUAUUAGCAUGAGUUUGACACUGGUGGCAUUUCUGCACGUAGCGGAUGCAAUCGUUUUCCAUGGUCAGGUAGAAGUAACCUGAUCUUAAUAUCUUUUUUCCAACAUGAAGCCGUUCAUAUGUGGACUGCAUGUUCUGGCAUGUACUUCUUCAAUCAGCCUAGACGCCUUUUCGGCCUCGACACAUCUUAGUAAUCCUAAAUCAGGAGUCCUCCUGUACAGGAUUUCUCCAUUUAGGAAGAAUUGGUUGGCUAGCCUCUGAAUGGUACAUUUUUGGACACUUGUCAUAUUCUCAGGAUAGUCUCUACUUUUCAAAUACCUCUGUAUGUUUGUAUACCAUGGAUUUCCAUCCAAUUUCUCUUCAACAUAGAAGCAAUGUGCGGGCUGUUCAUGUACGUGAAUAGUAAUAGGAUCAAUGUAAUUCUUAUCUGGAUGUUGGAUCAUGGAAGAAAAAGUGGCCAAAGUAUCUGCAAACUCAUUUUGGAUCCUUGGGACGUGUUUGAACUCUAUCUUAUGGAACUUCUUGCACAUCUCUUGUACACACUCCAGAUAGGGUGGGAGUUUUGUGUUUUUAACAGCCCACUCACCUCGUACCCGAUGGAUCAAUAAGUCUGAAUCUCCAAUCACCAAUAUCUCUUGGAUAUUAAAGUCAAUAUCCAAUCAGAGCCCUAAGAUGCAGGCUUCAUAUUCGGCCAUGUUGUUAGUAAAAGAAAACCUGAGCUUGGCGGACACAGGAUAGUGUUGACCAAUUUCGGAGAUCACAACAACGCCAAUUCCAACUCCUUUGAAAUUUGCAGCUCCAUCAAAUACUAGUCUCCAACUGCCGUAUUCAUUAGAGAUGUCCUCUUCUAUAAAUGCCAUCUCCUCAUCAGGAAAGUAAGUUUUCAACGGUUGAUACUCGUCGUCCACAGGAUUCUCAGCCAGAUGAUCUGCUAGUGCUUGUGCUUUACCACCUUUUACGAGACAUAGAUUAUGUCAAAUUCACUCAACAGUAUUUGCCAUUUGGCCAAUUUUCCGGUAAACAUCGGCUUCUAGAUGAUAUAUUUCAGUAGAUCUAUUCUAAAGAUCAGGUAAGCGGUGUGUGCUGAGAGAUAGUUCCUUGAAUUUUGAGCCACCCAAGUUAGAGCGCAGCAAGUGCGCUCCAAAAGAGAAUAUCGUGCCUCAUAGGAAGUGAACUUCCUGCUCAUGCAGUAGAUGGACUGUUCUUUCUUGCCUGUCUUAUCAUGCUGUCCUAAAAUGCAUCCAAAUGCGUUAUCGAUCAAAGAUAGGUACAAUAGCAGUGGCCUACCAAGUUCGGGAGGAACCAAAAUAGGAGGAUUUGAUAGACAUUCCUUGAUCUUGUCAAAUGCCUGUUGGCACUCCGUUGUCCAUUCUACAUUACCAUCCUUUUUUAACAGCUUGAAAAUUGGUUGACAAAUGAUCGCGGAUUGGUCUAUGAACCGGCUAAUGUAGUUGAGGCGGCCCAAAAAGCUCAUGACAUUCUUCUUGCUUUUUGGAGAAGGAAGAUCUUGAAUGGCCUUGAUCUUGGCAGGGUCCAUUUCUAUGCCCCUACGACUGACGAUGAAACCCAAUAACUUCCCCGCGGGGACUCCAAAGACACUUUGCUGGGUUCAACUUCAAAUUGUACUUCCUCAGCCUGUUAAAGAAUUUUUCUAAAUAUGCCAAAUGACCUGUAUCUUUCCUUGAUUUGAUGAUGACGUCUUCCACGUAAACUUCAAUCUCCUUGUGGAUCAUGUCGUGGAAUAAAAUUGUCAUGACCCUCAUGUAGAUACCUUCAGCAUUUUUCCGACCAAACGGCAUAAAUUUGUAGCAGUACACUCCCCACGGAGUAAUAAAGGUAGUCUUCUCUGCAUUGUCUUCGUGCAUCUUGAUUUGGUGAUAACCGGCGAAGCAAUCCAUGAAUGACUGUGUUUCAUGCUUGGCGCAAUUAUCAAUCAAGAUGUGAAUGUUCGGGAGCAACAAGUCAUAUUUGGGACUAGCUUUGUUGAGAUCCCUGUAGUCUACACAAACCCUAACUUUCCCAUAUUUCUUGGGGACAGGUACGACAUUGGCCAACCAGGUUGGAUACUUCGUUACUCGAAGAAUACCAGCUUCGAUCUAUUUUGAGUUCUCCUCUUUGAUUUUCAAACUCAAAUUAGGCUUGUAUUUUUUGAGUUUCUCUUUGACCGACGGACAUGAUGGGUCUGUAGGCAGUCUGUGAGCCACUAUUGAAGUGCUUAGCCCUGUCAUAUCGGCAUAAUACCAAGCAAACACAUCAGGAUGAUUUUUCAGGAACUGGAUGGAUUCCUCCUUCUCUUCUUCGGACAAGUGAACGCUGAUGUGGGUUUCUUUUACGUCCUCAGGAAACCCUAUGUUCACUAUUUUUGAUUCUAUGAGAUUUUCCUUAGGUUUGUCUUCAAAAUCUUCAACCUUAGUGACAAAUUCCUGGGGAAUCUCAAAGUCCUCUGUAUCAUCAACUUCACUUAUAUUAUGUUGUAUUGUCUUAUUAGUCGUCACAAUCUCAGAUUCAACAAUUUUAAAUGUGAGUUUGUUGUAAGAAAAGUUAAAUAAAGAACAUUAAUAAUAAAAAAUGGAAAAUUUAUUGAUAAAGUGAAUAUCGUGAAACAUAGUGUUGAAAUGAAAAUAAAGAAACUAGAAACUUCAAAACGUCUCAACUAGUCGAGUUUAUUAAGAAAAUAAAUGCUAAAACGUUAAUCUUUAUUAUGUCUACCCAAGUGCACGAUGUAGCCUGGAAGGAGUGACAGUCCAGCUACUGGCAGCGACUUUUUGUUCGUUGAUUAGGCUAGGGGCUCCUUCCUCCUCACUAAUAAUGUCAUGGCAACCGUCUUCCUCCGUCAGAAAAAGAAACCUUAAGCUCUUCAAUAUGUCUUUUUCUAAAUUGUCCAGAAAACCAGAUGAACGAAAUAUCUUACAUAGUGUCGGCAGUGGAUUUGGUAGAGGGCAGUAGCAGCCUAAAGGUGACUUCCAGUCGAGGUACUCUUUCGUAGUGUAUUCGUACCCCAAGCCGAACGUGUCUAUCUUGAAUUUUGGCCGUAUAGGUCCGAUGAUUCCUUGUAAUUUUGCUCCCAAACCUUUACUAAGCUCAUACCCUUUCAUCAUCUUUCCCCCUAUGUUCAUCUAAGUUAUAUCUACCCCCACGAUGUCAUCCUCGAUCAUGUCUGCCUCCUCAGUUUCAAUAUUAUCUAGGUCUUCAUAAAAGAAGGUGAUGUCCUCGGUUAGGGUAAUUCUUUUAAAUAUCUCCGUUAUUUCAAUAACAUCAUCAUUUUUACGAAGUCCUGUAGAAAUGAAGAUUUGGUAUAAUGACAAUACAGGGUUGGGUGCAUUUUUUCCUUCAUAGCCUAGACCACGAUCGUGUUCCCUUUCGUCAACUGCUAAAGGAUCGAUUAUUCCUUGAAAUCUGGUGCCAAGACCUUUGUCUUCUUCAUACCCAAACCAACGCAUGUAACUCUAAGCAGCCAAGGGUUUGUCAAGUUGUAUGCAGCUUAUGGAUUCUUCUUCAAUAUUCCCAAUCCAUUGUAAAGCGUCGAGCCCUCCUUAAUCUCCUUCACCCCAGAUCAGUACUUCUUGUUAAAAGUACUCGAAUCGAACGCAUCGGUGUAGGGUGGACGGGACUGCACCAACCAUAUGGAUCCAAGGUUUCCCAAGCAACAGAUUAUAUGAGACGAGAAUAUCCAAAACUUGAAAGAGUAUCGAGAAUGAGGCAGGGCCUACUAUGAUGUUUAGCAUGAUCUCCCCGAUGGUGUUUCGCCCCGAGCCAUCAUAUGCCCUUAGGACCCUUACCCGGGGAUGAAUCCUGAUUGCAUCAAUUUCAAAAUAUGUCAAGGUAGCCAGGUGGUAAAUAUUUACCCAAAGCCUAAUAUAACGUAUCGUUGUGCGGCCCUCCUUCAAUGCUUCCUACCAACUCAAUAGUAUCGAACAUUUCUCUGUCAAGGUAUUCUUUUUAUUUGAUGACGUAUAUUGGAUGUCCCUUCUCCCCAUAUAUCACAACCUCUUGAUGAUUGUAUUCAAACUUGAGGUACUGAUGAAGAAUGGAGGAUACAGUACCAGCCGCAUGAAGCCAAGGACGUCCGAGCAGAAAGUUAUAAGACACAGAGAUGUCUAUCACCUGGAAGGGUACGGUGAAAGGGACUGGACCUAUCCUCAUAUCUAAUGUAAUUUCUCCAAUUGUGCCCCUUUGAGAGCCAUCGAAUUCCUUCACGUUCAUUUUCCAUAUUUGCACCUUGGACAUAUCAAUCUCUAAUCUGGUCAAGGUAUUCAAAGGGCAAAUAUUCAAUCCCGAGCCUGGAUCAAUCAGAACACGGGAUAUCAUCCUUCCUUCGUACUGUAGUGUGACAUUUAGAGCCCGGUUAUAUGCUCUUCCUACAGGCGGCAAUUCUUCAUCAUGAAACAAAAUCUAUUAAGCCUCAAAUACUUGCCCCACCAUACGGGACUUUCUCUCUCUGUAGUGGUAUCCAGCACAUAAGCUUGACCUAAGACCCUCAUCAAGGCCUUUUGGUGGUUCUCUAAAGUCUGGUGCAAUGUCAAUAUUGAAAUCUGGGCCGGAGUCAUACUUAGUUGUUCGGCCACGAAAUACUUCUUUGUAUGUAUAUUUUUCCAAAUGCCAUCUUCAACCAUGGUGGCAGGUUGUUUUUCUUUGCUAGAGCUUCCUUGAAGCAGAUUUUUAGGAGUGUAUAUUCUGCUUGAUUUGGUGACUCCUUGUGCAAUGUCUGUUUCGGCUACCUUUGCUUUUCUUGGAACAUUGAUGUCAUAAUCCCAUGGUACUGCAUGAGGAUUGGUUAUAGUUGGAGUAUCUCUUACUACAGUAAAAGGAACUCUGGGUGUGGCAACAUCAACCUCAAAGGGAACCUGUCUCCGCACCGUGAUAGAGGUUCUGUUUCCUUCCUCAAUAACCCAAAUAGAGUGCUCUAAGUCUACGUCAUCAUCGACCUCGAGCAUAUUCACCUCAUGAGCAGGGAGAGGAUUAUUGGUGAUAUUAGAUUUUGGGUCCUUCAACUAGAUUACCUUGGUAUCAAUCAGUUGUUAGACUUUGUUCUUCAAGGCGUAGCAUGCCUCCAUAAGAUGCCCCCUCAUGCCAGAGUGGUAGGCGCAUAUCUGAUUAUGUCGGUACUGUGGGGAUUUCACAUCAACUUGUACGACCGGAAUGGUUGUGAUGUGACCCUCCUUCUUGAGUCUUUCAUAGAGUUGAGCCAUUGGCUCAGCUAAAGGAGUGUACUGUCUUCUCUCAACAUUUCUCUUGGGCUUAAGAGAAGCUGGCUUAGGGACAUGAGUGGGUCAGAUGGUUUGGACUUGUAUAGGUUGGGCGUUAUACAUGGGGUAGGAGGGACUUAAGAAUUGUAGAGGUAUUUGGUAGGGAUAAAGCAUUUGGUGCGAUGGGGCUUGAUAUGGCAUUGGAGUUUGUGGUGGGUAGGGAGUAGUAUAGGGUAUUUGUGGGUAGGGUGAGGGAGACAGAGCGGGGGUUGCAGGGCUCGGGACAUUCUCUGAAGGUUGGGCCGCCAUUACUGACCCUAUCUUCUUUUUCUUCUUGUUUUCCUCUAUUCCUGCAGACUGUGGGUUUAAGUGGAUAAUACUAACGUUCUUAAGACACUCUUCAAAUAUUUCUCCUAUUCUAAUGAUUUUGGAGAAGCUCUUGUCUGUGACUGUUAUCAGUUUGUCAAGGUACUAUGGCUCUUGUGCCUUGACAAAAUAUUCUUUCCUCUGUUGCUCUUCAACUGGAGGCCGAGCUCUUGCAGCCUCAGCCCUCCAUCUCAUGGCGUAUUCUCAGAAGGAUUCAUUAGGCUUCUUUCUCAUUGCCUGCAUGUAUGUCCAACUCAGAGCAUUGUCGAUAUUGUACCUAAAUCGAUCAAAGAAGCUAGACGCUAGGUCAAGCUAGUCUACCUAUUUCUUCACAUCCUCCUCAAGACACCGUGUAAGAGCCUCCCCCAUGAGGCUUCUCAUGAAUAGCUUCAUCCAAAUUUUCUCGUUCUUUCCUACGUCCGAAAUCUUACUGCAGUAUACACUCAGAUGUGCUUUAGGAUCUCCAGUCCCAUCGUAUAACUAGAACUUGGGAGGUUUGUACCCCUCCGGCAGUUCGACAUCGGGGUGGAUGCAUGUCUUCGUAAUUAAGACCCUUUAUGGCUUUGUUUCCCUCUAAAUGUCUCAAUCUUUUGACUACAGCUUGCAUGGUAUAGUUAUUUUCAAGGUUCUCGAAAGUGGGUUGAGGAUGGUCAAGUGAAAGUGUUUCAACAUUGAUGGGGUUCAAAUUGUGGCUUCUGGAAGCAUGAUGGUGGUAUAUGUUUAGAUGUGGAGGCUUUUGAGGGGAUGGAUAAGUGGAGUUCCUUGGUUCUUGGGUGGGCAUAUAUAGUAGAGCUAUGGCAUUUUGGAUAUUUUGGAUAUUGGUAGGAUUUUGGGGUUGAAGAUGAGGUAUUGGAUGGUCUGUGGGAGCUUGGGAUUUCGGGAUGGCAAAGCUACCGGCUUGCAGUUAUGGAGUAUUCAGGUUGAGGGAGAGUUUAGCCAAGUUGCGCACUUGUGCCAAUUCUGCUUGCAGUUCAAAGAUUUUCUGUUCCAUUUUUAUUAUCACUUCAUUCUGACCCAUGAUACUAUCCCCUUCUGAACUAGUACCUUUUUUCCCCCAAUAAGAUGGAGGUCACCCAUUGCUUCUUUUCUUGCUGGAAGAGGAAGAAGAGAAGGAGGAGCCCCUUCCGAUCUAGUAUGAUAGGCCAGAAUGCACAAAUCAACCUAUGGGAAAGGGGAAAACAAAAUAAACAAAAAGGUGAAAAAGUUAGUGUGUUAGUUAUAAAAGAAUUAUAGCAUGUUAGAGUGAACAUGAUUAACACAUAGCACAUCGUUUGACGAGUCCUACGAUGGGAGCCUCUUUGAGCUAGAGGUAGGUCUAUCGUUGUUUGAGAGAUAAUUAUGCCAUAAAAUAAUGCCAUUUGCUCAAAGAUAAAACCCCAAAAUAAAAUAAAACUUUAUUUCAUUUGAAUUGUUUCAACAUCACAGAAAAUAAAAUAAAGUAAAUACAAGAAUGCCUAAAAAUGAAUGUUAGAUUUUGAAUAUGUCCUCUUCUUGCUCUUCCUUGUCAUCUUCUAGGACCUUGUCAAAGCGGUGGCGGCUUUCCAAGAGAUAAGAUGUUGCUAAUUUCUCUCCCAUGCUUUCCAUAUUGGUGCAUUCUUGUCCCUACUUGUAGAAUUCAUCUCGUAGUUCUAUCACCUUUCUUUCUAUUAUCAAAGCACGGUGUUUCCACGACUCCAGUUGUUUCCCUAUUUUAGUAAUUUCUUUAGCAUUCUCCGCAAUAAUAUGGUGAUUAUAGGCCUCAGAUGCUAGAGCCCUCUUCUCAAACUUGCGGUAGAGAGCUUGCGCGUCUGCCUCCUUGUCAUUGACAUCUCUACCUCUCUUGACGUCUGGGGUCACUUUGUUCUCCCAAUUGGCAUGCAACCACUCAACAUAACCCUUUUUAUAGCCCACAUUGUAUCGGUCUAGUGCGAUGCUCUCUAUGUCCAGACGAGUCUUUUUCCCCAAGUCUUAGCAAUAUCAGCGCCAUUUGAAAUUUUAUCAUCCUUGUAGUCGACUCUAUACGCCUCCAUGUCAGUAACUCGUGGAAUCAAUUGUCACCUCCCCGCUUGCCUCAUUACUCUAUUAGAAAAGUACGGUUGGAAUCCAUGAAGACCCAUCAAUAUCAAAGGUGUAUGUUGUUGAGUGAAAAUUAUGAAAUCCGUGCUUGGGAAUCACUCAAACAUCCAUUGGAUGGAAUCUUCAGUCAAGGCCCCCAACAUUGGCCCCCACUUUUCUGUCUUGUCUGGCCACUUAAUCCUUUUGACACCCAACGUGACUCGGGUAUCAUGGGAAGAGAUGUUGUCAAUUCCAAACGACCUUGGCAUGCUUUGUAAACCAUGAAUUUUCUGGAGGUGCUCGAUCAACCAUAACUGCAGCAACAAGUUGCACCCUUCAAAGUGUUUGGUGCCGUUUUUGGAACGUCCCAAGGCCAGAUAAAUAUCUGCUACUAUCAUGGGUAUAAUUGUACAGGACCCACUUUUAAUCCUAUUGCACAAGGCAUCUGCUACGGUGAUCAAGCAGGUGUGCACUACAUCUCUUGCCCCGAUUGGAAAAACCACCGUUCCUAGGAAGUAAAUGAUAAAUGCAAAGAUUUGUUUAUCUUCCCAAGAGUCGGGGUCGGAACCAUCUGCUACAUAUGUCUCUUUUCCUUGCUUGGAGGCGAAUCUGUUGGCUAGAUAGCUGGCGGGCAUCUUUGACCUCAUCACAUAGGCUACUAAUAGGCUGCCAUGGAGACCCAGCUUGUUGCUUGCCUUUUCUAGAGUGACACUUUUAGGAAUGAUUACCUCAGCUUAUUGCCACCUCAUUGCUUUUGGAAACACCUUAUUUUCCAUAUAUCCUCCAAUCUCUUCCAGAAGCGGUGUCAUCUCCACAUCACCAAACCUUAAUACCGAUCUUUUUUCAUCCCAAAAUGCAGCAGCCACUUCAAUAAGUACUCUACAAGGAUUGAUGUUCAUAAGGGAUGGCAAACUUCCCAAUGCUUGCUCGACUUUUCUUUGUCCCAAGUAUCCCAAGUCUGACCACCAUUAUUUUAUGUGUGGCGGCAUGCACCAAACCAUGCCGAAUUUUGGGUAUGCAGUUGGAAAGGCCAUUAGAUCUGUAAAACAAAGCGUUAGUCAACCCUACCCCCCAUAGAGCAAAUGACAUUGUUUUGGCAUAAUUAUCUCUCAAAGAAUGCACAUAAAUAGUGAGGCGUUCUUUUGCGGGAUCGUGGGAUCCCUUUAGAACUUAGGGCCAUGUUUUCUAGCAUGACAUCCUACAUUUUGAGAGUAUUUAUUCCUUAGUAAAGGGAUAAACGGUCAAGCUCUAGAGAUAAGAGUGGUUUUGACAUGGUACCCCCAAGCAGGCAACUUGAGAGUGGGAAGGCUUGUGGCUGUCAAUGCACCGCUGAUCGACCGAUCCACAAGGUAUUUCCCGAAGGGUGUUUUUAAGAAAGAACGUCCGUGCAACCAUGUAACCGUUCGUAAAAAAGAAAAUAAAAGAGGUUUCCAAGUGGAGGAAUGCCAGUUAUAUAAAGCAGUAACACAUAACAUAUAACAACAUAAAAUAGCGUGCUUUAGUAAAAUAAAAACAUAGAAUCAAUAAAGAAAGAAGUAGGCAUGAAGAAACACAAAUAACACAUAACAAGGGGAAGAAGAGAGAUUAACAUGCAUAAAUUGAUCAUCAAUAAAAGCAAAAGUAGACAUGGAACCACCAUGAAUAACUCAAAAAAGAAAAGGCAAAUAAAUCAUGAUGUGAAUAAUAAAAGGAAAACGCAUGUCAAAAGUAAACAUUAUAAUAAAAUAAAUAAAAAGAAACCCAUAUAAAGCACAAAUUCAUAAUGGUUAGAACCUAAUAUCCCCAGUGGAUUCGCCAUUCUGUCGUGCCCCAUUUUCCUCGUGGAAGGAGGGAUUCGACUUGACAAACUCUCAGGAUGCAUUUGAAGGAAGGGUGUGAGAGUCACCACCUAACAUAUUAAGGUGCGUUAGGGCACCGGUAUAGGAUACUACGAACCUAUUUUUUUGUAAUUUUGUCUUAGUUCACCAGAGUUCGGGUAAGUGUUCAAAUUACCUCAAAAUGAAGGUGUUAGGCACCUUUCGAGGUCCACAAAGGUGGUUCCUGGCCGAAUUCAUACUUUACAUGGGGAUUCUACGUGAUCAAAUAAAGUCUCUUCUUUUAUAAUUAAAUUGAUGUCUAGCUACGUCAUAAAGUAAUUAAUAGUCAGACAUAUGUUAUUUGUUAAUUCUAAUUAUUGAUUAUCUAAGCGAUAAAAUAAAUAAAACAUUAACAAGAUGAGCGAGAAGAAAAAAGUGACGAAAUCAUAAUAAUAAGAGGGUCUGCUUAUAAAAUUGACUACCCCAAAUAAGAAGCAUGUGAAGUAAAUAAAAGAAAUCGUACAAGUCGAAAAAAGAAAUAUUUUGGUUUUUUUCGGAUCAUCCCCAACUUGUUUAAUCAUCAUCCUACCUAAGGGCCGAACUCGUAGACAAGUGAAAUUGUCAUUAGCCUCGCCGUUAAUAUUUUGUUGGGAUUGUCAUUUCUGAAUAGGGGCUACCCAUCCUACCCCAUCUAGGAUGGAUUGUCAAGUCUAAGGGCGUUCUAUGACAAGGAUAAAACUAACGUUUUAGUAAUAUUUAACGUCCCAACUAUUGUCCAAGAGGCAUUGGACUUUGUUAUUUUGAAUUUGUGUUCUAGACUAAAAGAAAGCUAUGUUGCCUAAGACUCGAAGCGCAAACAUAUUGGACAACAGGUAGCACGUAAUAAUCCCAAGUUAGCCUCUUGAUUAAUUAACGCUUAUCAAUGUUGUAGCAUGCGAAGAUAAAAUAAUUAUUUGUUAUGUUGUUAACCUAUAGACAUGAUAUCUAAAUGUUCAACAAGUACUGAUAAAGGACGACUGACUCGUGUAUGAAACAAAUAUAAUGUGUGUUCAUAAAAGGGUGUCAUAAGUGUGGUAAACAUGUCAAACAAAAGUGCUUGUGAAUUAAGUGUUGUAAAAAAUGUAAAUGAGAACAUAAGAAAUGAACAAGAACAUUAAAAGGUAUUAACACGUAAAGAAUUCAUAAUAAUGGGCUUUAUCUAGUGUUUAAUAUGAUGAAGACUGUUCAAACUAACAUUUUAACAUGCUUAAAAUAUGUUGAUGUACAGAAAUUUUUAUAUUAACAUGCUAUAGUAUCAAUGUUGACAUGCUUAAAGUACCCAAAUUAGAUAUACUAGAAGACGCUCAAAUGAAUGUUUUACACUGAGCAUGCUCACUUUCAAUGUUCAGAAUGUUAAAGUUAAUUAAUAAUAUGCUGAAACUAUUAUUAUUGCGCAAGUGACUUAACACUAAUGUGUUUAACAAUAUUUAUGUUAACAUGAUGAAGUAGUUAUAACAUGCUGAAAUUUAUUAGAUGCGCAGAAUUUUAAUGUUCUAAUGGUAAUAACAUGCUAAAAUUAUAUAGAUAUACAAAAACAUUUUUUAAAUGUGCUGGAGUUUAUUUAAACAUGCUGUAAAUUGUAGUUAAACAUGCUGAAAGUUGUAUUAAACAUGCUGAAAAUCAAGUUUAACAUAUUAGAAUAUGCGAUAGGCUUAAGUAUAUUACUUAACACGCGUAUUCAUGGAUAGACAUGCUUAAAAUCAUGAUAAUGCUAAAAAAAUAUAUUAACUCGUCUAAACCUAUUGUUUAACAUGCUUACAAGUAUAUUAAUAUGCUAACAUGCUUGAUGUCAAAUAAUGUACUAAUGUGCCUGAUGUCAAAUAUGCUAGUAUGUAUUAAUGUCUUAUUUUAACAUGUUAAUAUAUUGGAAUCAAUAUGAAUGUCUAAAAUAUUGAAAAAAUGACUUUGAUGCUCAAGAUACAUGGUAAACCAUAUUCAUCAAUUUCCAUGUUGCCAAAAACUUAAGUCAAUAUAUCGAAAUUAAUUAAAAUUUCUAAAGCAAGAUUUCUAGGCGGCCAAGUAAGUAGAUUAAUAGAUUUUAAAUCAUGUUUUGCCUAAGUGUUUCGUAUAGCACAUAAUACACGUAAAAAUCCUAAAUUGUACCUACUACGUUGUUCGUAGAGCACAUAAUCCCGCCCCCAAAGCAGUCCCCCAAAUCUAAUUAUUACAAUAAUAAUAAAAGUGUUUUACAAUAAUAUUACAGACCAAAUAGAAAUCAAGAGAAAAAUAACUAGUUAAAAAAAUACAUAGUUUAAAUAUUCCGGUGACUCUUUGGAACUUAUAAGUAUCUGUUUAAAUUGCGAAACAAUACAUAAUAGCAAACAAAUCAAACAAACAUCGAGAUAUUCGUAUAGAUAUGUUCCUACAACCGUCAUACAGUCAGCACAUACACAGAGAAUAAAAUAAUUGUAUCAAUUUGUGAACUUGCCAGUAGCAGCAGUAUUAGAGAUAAUAAAAGUAACGAAGAUCAAGCGAUUUGUAACAGUGAAAUAUGCUAAGUGUUUUCAGCAACCUUGCAGGAAAGCCAAAGAACUUUUAAGAAUAUCGUUUCUCUAUAUUAAAAUAACUGAUCUUUUGUUUACGAGAGUAAUAGUAGUAGUUGUAAUAGAAAUUGUGAACUUGAGUCCUCUGUUAAUUGAAAAGGAUAGGUGUUUAUAUAGUAGGCGGUCUAGAGGGUCAAAAGGAAAAAAUAUUUUUACAAUUAAUCAGAAUCAAUUAAGGAAAGGAAAAUAUUUGAUUGAAAUCAGUCAAUGGGUUUUUUCCAUAAACAAAAAAAAAUCAUACUUGUAAUAUAAGAUUCGGUAAAAGCCAAUAAAGGAAAAUAUUGGUUGAGUGAAUCAAUUAUAUUAUAAAAAUAAUUUAAAAUUAGUCUAACAUUAACAAAAGAAAAAGAAGUAUCAAUCAACAGAGCAUGUGACGUGGUCAAUCAACACAACUGCCUUAAAUAUAAACACAUAAUCAGUCGAAAUAAAUAGAAGAAAAAAUAUCAAUUAAUCCGAAUAUUCCUUCUGAAUUAUGUAUAUUAAUUAAGGAAAAUCAUUAUCUCAGCAUAAAAAGGCCAAAAUAAAUUAUGAAUGUGUCAAUCAGUAACAUAUCCCAAGAUUCCCAGAACUGUGUCAAAUUGAUCUUGCAGUGGUUUGUGAAAAUUUAAAAAUAUGUUAACUAAAGAACCAAAUAAGAUAUGAAAUUAAAACAAUUAGGUCAGAAAAAUCAACACCAUACAUCACUGAUUCUAAAUUUAACGAUCUGUCAAAGAACAAGAAAAUGAUGAUAAUGUUAAUGCAAUUAGAUAAGGAUGCGAACCUGGACAAAUUUAUUAUGAAUUCAUCAUAAUUUUUUGGUGAUGAGAGGGGAAGACAGAGGCGCUGGAGAAGGGGGAAGGCGAUGGCAGCGUUGUCACCUUUGGUGGUAGCGAUGCUGGUCGGCUUGCUGGUGAAGGGAUUGGAGUAGCGAUGGAGGAGUGGAGGGAGAUCGGAGGCAGCGAAGCCACAGUGGCGGGGUUGGAGGACCACGACUAGGACUAGCCAUCGUUGGCAAUGCUGGAGCGGGUCUUUGACAGCGACGAUGCAUGGGAGAUCUGGGGUCACAGAGGAUGGGUUUGUGUUAUUGUUGGGGGUGGUCGGAGAUGAAGAAAUGGCGUGGUGUGCUGGUUGGAGGAAAAUGAGGUGGGGCCGUUGCCGCUGUUCUUGGCGGCAUCAGAUCUGGGAUGAGACAAAGGCAAUUGGCGGUGAGGGUAGCGUUUAUGGCUGGCUCAGCUGAUGGCUGGAGCGACGAAGCUCUGACGACUGAUGCUCUUUUGCGGCACCAGAAAGGAAAGACGAUGGGGGUUUCGUGGUGGUGUUGGCUUUCGCGGUGGUGCUAAUGUAGAGAGGGACGACAGGAGAGGUUCUUUGAGAGAGAGGGAGUAGAGAGAGGA
rnacentral:lncRNA from 1 species